CGCGUAGGCGGCCUGAUAAGUCAGAUGUGAAAGUCCACGGCUCAACCGUGGAAGUGCAUUUGAAACUGUCAGGCUUGAGUAUCGGGAGGGGAGUGUGGAAUUCCCGGUGUAGAGGUGAAAUUCGUAGAGAUCGGGAGGAACACCGGUGGCGAAGGCGACACUCUGGACGAAUACUGACGCUGAGGCGCGAAAGCGGUGGGGAGCAAACA
rnacentral:rRNA from 1 species